AUACAGAGGGUGCAAGCGUUAAUCGGAUUUACUGGGCGUAAAGCGCGCGUAGGUGGCUAAUUAAGUCAAAUGUGAAAUCCCCGAGCUUAACUUGGGAAUUGCAUUCGAUACUGGUUAGCUAGAGUAUGGGAGAGGAUGGUAGAAUUCCAGGUGUAGCGGUGAAAUGCGUAGAGAUCUGGAGGAAUACCGAUGGCGAAGGCAGCCAUCUGGCCUAAUACUUACACUGAGGUGCGAAAGCAUGGGGAGCAAACAGGAUUGGAUACCCUGGUAGUCCAUGCCGUAAACGAUGUCUACUAGCCGUUGGGGCCCUUGAGGCUUUAGUGGCGCAGCUAACGCGAUAAGUAGACCGCCUGGGGAGUACGGUCGCAAGACUAAAACUCAAAUGAAUUGACGGGG
rnacentral:rRNA from 1 species